AUUGAACGCUGGCGACAUGCCUUACACAUGCAAGUCGAACGGCAGCACGGGUGCUUGCACCUGGUGGCGAGUGGCUAACGGGUGAGUAAUACAUCGGAACAUGUCCUGUAGUGGGGGAGAGCCCGGCGAAAGCCGGAUUAAUACCGCAUACGAUCUACGGAUGAAAGCGGGAGACCUUCGGGCCUCGCGCUAUAGGAUUGGCCGAUGGCUGAUUAGAUAGUUGGUGGGGUAAAGGCCUACCAAGGCGGCGAUCCGUACCUGGUCUGAGAGGAAGACCAGCUAGACGGGCAGUGAGACAGGGCCGAGACUCCUACGGGAGGCAGCAGUGGGGAAUUUUGGACAAUGGGGGAAAGCCUGAUCCAGCAAUGCCGCGUGUGUGCAGAAGGCCUUCGGGUUGUAAAGCACUUUUGUCCGGAAAGAAAUCCUUGGCCCUAAUACGGUCGGGGGAUGACGGUACCGGAAGAAUAAGCACCGGCUAACUACGUG
rnacentral:rRNA from 1 species